rnacentral:lncRNA from 1 species
CCAGGCGUCUGGUCAAUUGAGACCGUCAUCGGGGCCUAGGCCCCCUGUUUGAUGGUACGGUCGAGGGCAACCUACCUAUCGAGACUCUGGAUCCUUCUACCCCUACCUUUGGGUCACGUCUGUCCCCCUUCUGCCGUGCCUGGUCCCGAAUCACAUCGGACAGCUGGGUGCUCCGCACGGUAGAGAGGGGAUAUUCUAUCCAGUUUUCCUCCCUCCCGCCCCACCAGCCCCACUCCCUGUCCCUCUUCAGGGACCCAUCUCACAAGCAAUUUCUAAUUCAAGAAGUGAAAUCCCUCAUGGAGGCAGGAGUGGCGGAGGAAGUCCCUCGAGAGCUCAGGGGCAAAGGCUUCUACUCCCUGUAUUUCCUAAUACCGAAGGUGAAAGGGGGCCUGAGACCCAUCCUGGACUUGCGGCGGCUGAACAAGUUUGUACGAAAGCUCAAGUUCCUCAUGGUUUCCCUGUCCUCGAUCAUUCCCUCCCUGGAUCCAGGAGAUUGGUACACUACCCUCGACUUAAAGGACACUUAUUUCCACAUCGCCAUAAUUCCCCGACACCAUCAGUACCUCAGGUUCAUCGUGGCCGACGUCCAUCUGCAGUUCACGGUGCUCCCGUUUGGCCUGUCAGCUGCCCCAAGGGUCUUCACGAAGUGCAUGGCAGUCGUGGAGGCCUUCCUGCGCAGGCGAGGCAUCCAGGUAUUCCCCUACCUGGACGAUUGGCUCAUAAAGGGCCACACCAAGGAGCAGGUGGAGGCUCAGGUGUUGUUCAUUAGGCGGACCUUUCUCAAUCUCAGCCUCCUCUUGAACAAAGCCAAGUCCACCCUGUCUCCGACGCAACGAAUAGGGUUCAUAGGGGCAGUUCUGAACUCCACCCACGCCAGAGCGUUCCUUCCGGAAUCCAGGUUACACGCGAUUUCCGAGCUCAUCCUCGGACUGCAACGCGCCCCGAUUACCACGCCGUGGAUCUGCCUCCGGCUGUUGGGUCACAUGGCAGCGUGCACCUAUGCGGUAAACCAUGCCAGACUCUGGCUUCGCCCGCUGCAGUACUGGUUAGCAACAGUAUACCGCCUGGCCAGGGACCCCUUAGACUCAGUGGUGUCCAUUCCCCACUUCGUGCUGAGCUCGCUACGGUGGUGGCUCGACCUGCAGAAAGUGUGCAUGGGCGUCCCCUUCGCUGCCCCUCAACCCUCCUUCUCUCUGGUAACAGAUGCCUCAGAUCGGGGUUGGGGAGCGCACUUGGGGAAUCUCAGGACGCAGGGCUUGUGGUCGCCGGAGGACCUCGAGUUGCAUAUCAAUGUCAAGGAGCUGAGAGCGGUUCGCCUGACUUGUUUGACCUUCCGGUCCCACCUGGCUGGCAGAUGUGUUUCAGUCCUCUCGGACAACACAUCAGCAGUCUUUUAUAUCAACAAACGGGGGUGCACGCUCCUCUCCCCUGUGCAGGGAAGCCCUCAUGUUGUGGGAUUUCUGUGUCCACAAUGCUACCCACCUGACACCGUUCUACAUUCCGGGGGAGCAGAACAGUCUAGCGGACACCCUCAGCUGCUCGUUCCGGAGUCAUGAGUGGUCCCUCCGACGGGAUGUGGUACGCUCAAUCUUCCAGCUCUG